rnacentral:lncRNA from 1 species
AUAAAGAGGGUGUGGGGGAUUUCUGCAAGUUGGCAAUAUUUUCUCCUCUCUCUCUCUCUCUCUCUCUCUCUCCUUAAGUUGGCUGGUUCUGUAACAUUCAUUAUGCUCUUCUUAAUAGAUCCCAGAAAUGCUGAAAUUGUCCUUCAGAGGAAGCAUUCACUUGAAACAACAAAAGAUUAGAGAAACCUGAAAAAUGUUGGAUUUUCUUUACCUUUUGAAGAAGGCCAGCUGGAACCUUCUGAAAUUAUUCCUGUUACAGUGUGCAGCCACAAACAGGACGGAUGGCCCAGGACUUCUUCAAGGUCUGCUCAUUCCAUUGUAUGAGGAAGGCCAAGAUGGCUGCACAACUGCGACUGAUGCCCGGGGUGGAAAGGAUCAGGAUGACAGAGCCAAGCGGGAGGUGAAUUUUGAGAAAGUGACAGAGGCGACUUAAAAAGGAGGACGGAGCGAAGCAUGGGAGGAUGUUUGGGAAGGGCUGUAUCUGCAAGAUGGUUCACUGGAUGAGACAAUCUGAGGGCAGGCCAAAUACGACACAACUUUCUUCACAAAAAGGUCAGUUAAGGAAACAAAAACUACCAAAAAAUUUCUAAAGGCAUCUUACUCCCCUGUAUAGUCUUGCAACUUAGAUGACCCACUAAUAUGAAUAUUGGAACGACAGUGGGAAAAAAAUGACAUUAUUUUGUAGCCUCCAAAGGGUUAAUAUCAGG